rnacentral:lncRNA from 1 species
AGCCUGGGAGCUGUACCAGUGAGUGGAAGCCUGCCCUGCAAAAAGGGCUAAUUAAUACUAAAUGUCACUACCAUCUCAUAGCUCUUGCCCUGUGUACACCUAUCGGAGCCAGGUGUCCCUUUGAUCACAAUCUCUAGCCCUGGGUUGAACCGCAAGAGAGUCAACAUCACCUGAGACAAAUGACAACACCCCCACUCCACCCCUCAUUCUAUGGGGUUGACCUGGAGAUGGUGGCUUUCCUGCUGUGCCCUGUAGAAGAAUGUCACACACCUACAAAGCUUUGAGGAACACUGCUCUUUUUUCUCUUCAGGACUUUUCCUUGUCCUCGUUCCAAAAGAGGUUCUCAUCACAUAAGCAAAGGACCAGUAUUUGUCCCUGUGGAUGCACCAAGACUUGAAGUGGCACGGCACACUCUUAGAAAGCUGUAACACCUUCUGCUGGUGGGUCAGGUAGACCAGAAUGCCAUGAUGGCCUACUCACCUUCAACAGCCAGAGGGGCUGCCCAAAAUGGUAAAUCUUAUGGUAUGUAUAUUUUACCGCAAUUAAAA